CUAGGAAGAAACCUAGAGAGGAACCAGGCUAUGUGGGGUGGCCAGUCCUCUUCUGGCUGUGCCGGGUGGAGAUUAUAACAGAACAUGGCCAAGAUGUUCAAAUGUUCAUAAAUGACCAGCAUGGUCGAAUAAUAAUAAGGCAGAACAGUUGAAACUGGAGCAGCAGCACAGUCAGGUGGAAGUUGAAACUGGAGCAGCAGCAUGGCCAGGUGGACUGGGGACAGCAAGGAGUCAUCAUGUCAGGUAGUCCUGGGGCAUGGUCCUAGGGCUCAGGUCAGUUGAAACUGGAACAGCAGCAUGGCCAGGUGGACUGGGGACAGCAAGGAGUCAUGUCAGGUAGUCCUGGAGCUCAGGUCCUAGGGCUCAGGUCCUCCGAGAGAGAGAAAGAAAGAGAGAAGGAGAGAAUUAGAGAACGCACACUUAGAUUCACACAGGACACCGAAU
ensembl:lncRNA